AUUGAACGCUGGCGGCAGGCCUAACACAUGCAAGUCGAACGAGUGGCGGACGGGUGAGUAAUGUCUGGGAAACUGCCCGAUGGAGUGGGAUAACUACUGGAAACGGUAGCUAAUACCGCAUACCAUCGGAUGUGCCCAGAUUGGAUUAGCUAGUAGGUGGGGUAACGGCUCACCUAGGCGACGAUCCCUAGCGGGUCUGAGAGGAUGACAAGACACACUGGAAAUGAGACACGGUCAAGACGCCUACGGGAGGCAGCAGUGGGGAAUAUUGCAAAAUGGGCGAAAGCCGGAUGCAGCAAGGCCGCGUGUGUGAAGAAGGCCUUCGGGUUGUAAAGCACUUGAAGCGAGGAGGCGUUACUCGCAGAAGAAGCACCGGCUAACUCCGUGCCAGCAGCCGCGGUAAUGC
rnacentral:rRNA from 1 species